GAUGAAGAACGUAGCGAAAUGCGAUACGUAAUGUGAAUUGCAGAAUUCAGUGAAUCAUCGAGUCUUUGAACGCACAUUGCGCCCCCUGGUAUUCCGGGGGGCAUGCCUGUCCGAGCGUCAUUGCUGCCCUCAAGCACGGCUUGUGUGUUGGGCCCCCGCCCCCCGGUUCCCGGGGGGCGGGCCCGAAAGGCAGCGGCGGCACCGCGUCCGGUCCUCGAGCGUAUGGGGCUUCGUCACCCGCUCCGUAGGCCCGGCCGGCGCCCGCCGGCGACCCCAAUCAAUCUUUCCAGGUUGACCUCGGAUCAGGUAGGGAUACCCGCUGAACUUAAGCAUAUCAAUAAGCGGAGGA
rnacentral:misc_RNA from 1 species